CUGGUGGUGGCCGCAUCGGUGUCUGGUAGAGGAGUGGGAGUUGGUGGCUGCGGCCUUUGGGCUGGGAUGAACCGCGCUCUCGGUGGAGGCUGGGGAGCCGAGCCAGAGCCAUGGCCAGUACAGUGGUAGCAGUUGGACUGACCAUUGCUGCUGCAGGAUUUGCAGGCCGUUAUGUUUUGCAAGCCAUGAAACAUAUGGAGCCGCAAGUAAAACAAGUUUUUCAGAGUCUACCAAAAUCUGCCUUCAGUGGUGGCUAUUAUAGAGGUGGGUUUGAACCCAAAAUGACAAAACGAGAAGCAGCAUUAAUACUAGGCGUAAGCCCUACUGCCAAUAAAGGAAAAAUAAGAGAUGCUCAUUGACGAAUUAUGCUUUUAAACCACCCAGACAAGGGAGGAUCUCCUUAUAUAGCAGCCAAAAUCAAUGAAGCUAAAGAUUUACUAGAAGGUCAAGCUAAAAAAUGAAGUAAAUGUGUGAUGAAUUUUAAGUUCUUGUUAGUUUAUGUAUACAAGUGCUAGCUUUUUAUAAUAAAAUGCCUCAAAGCUACAAAUUUUAAGAAUGAUUUGGCACAAACUAAA